rnacentral:rRNA from 1 species
UACGAAGGGGGCUAGCGUUGCUCGGAAUCACUGGGCGUAAAGCGCACGUAGGCGGGUUCUUAAGUCAGGGGUGAAUCCUGGAGCUCAACUCCAGAACUGCCUUUGAUACUGGGAAUCUCGAGUCCGGGAGAGGUGAGUGGAACUGCGAGUGUAGAGGUGAAAUUCGUAGAUAUUCGCAAGAACACCAGUGGCGAAGGCGGCUCACUGGCCCGGUACUGACGCUGAGGUGCGAAAGCGUGGGAGCAA